rnacentral:tRNA from 1 species
GGAGGAGUGGCUGAGUGGCCGAAAGCGGCGGUCUUGAAAACCGUUGAGUCGAAAGGCUCCGGGGGUUCAAAUCCCUCCUCCUCCGCCA